rnacentral:hammerhead_ribozyme from 1 species
AUCCAGCUGACGAGUCCCAAAUAGGAAGAAGCGUGCGUCCUGGAU